UGAGGAAUCUUCCGCAAUGGACGAAAGUCUGACGGAGCGACGCCGCGUGGUGGAUGAAGGCCUUAACUGGUCGUAAACACCUGUUCUGAGGGACGAAAUUUUUGACGGUACCUCAGGAGAAAGUAUCGGCAAACCCUGUGCCAGCAGCCGCGGUAAUACAGGGGAUACAAGCGUUACUCGGAAUCACUGGGCGUAAAGCGUCUGUAGGUGCCUGAGCAAGUCUGCGGUAAAAGUCCGGGGCUCAACCCCG
rnacentral:rRNA from 1 species